rnacentral:piRNA from 1 species
UGACUGCCUUUGAGGCCUGGAGAUGGUUAU